CCUACGGGAGGCAGCAGUGAGGAAUAUUGGUCAAUGGGCGCGAGCCUGAACCAGCCAAGUCGCGUGAGGGAGGACGGCCCUACGGGUUGUAAACCUCUUUUGCCGGGGAGCAACGGGCGUCACGUGUGGCGCCACUGAGAGUACCCGGAGAAAAAGCAUCGGCUAACUCCGUGCCAGCAGCGGCGGUAAUACGGAGGAUGCGAGCGUGAUCCGGAUUUUUUGGGGUUGAGGGGUGCGUAGGCGGAUCGUUAAGUCGGUGGCUAAAUUGAGGGGCUCAACCCCUUCCCGCCAUUGAGACUGGUGCUCUUGAGUGGAAGAGAAGUAUGCGGAAUGCGUGGUGUAGCGGUGAAAUGCAUAGAUAUCACGCAGAACCCCGAUUGCGAAGGCAGCAUGCCGGCUUCCGACUGACGCUGAAGCACGAAAGCGUGGGGUUCGAACAGGAUUAGAUACCCGGGUAGUC
rnacentral:rRNA from 1 species